rnacentral:rRNA from 1 species
UACAGAGGUCUCAAGCGUUGUUCGGAUUCAUUGGGCGUAAAGGGUGCGUAGGCGGCGCGGUAAGUCGGGUGUGAAAUCUCGGGGCUUAACUCCGGGCCUGCAGUGGGUACGGGCUGACUAGAGUGCGGUAGGGGAGACUGGAAUUCCUGGUGUAGCGGUGAAAUGCGCAGAUAUCAGGAAGAACACCGGUGGCGAAGGCGGGUCUCUGGGCCGUAACUGACGCUGAGGAGCGAAAGCGUGGGGAGCGAACAGG